rnacentral:lncRNA from 1 species
UGGAUCCGCCCUCCAUCUAUUGGAUGGCUCCCAGGCCAAUUGUUAGAAAGAGGCAUAUGUUCAUCUCGGCUUCUGGAGUGUCUCCGGAGCAGUUGCUCAACAGCCAGCCCCCUCCCCCAUCCGGACCAUUGAAGGGCAGAAAAAGGAGCGCCCUCCACCACAUUUCUCUGUGCCCACAUGCCAGAAAGGGUCUCCCCCCUGGUGACUUCCUGUCAUCUCCACUGCUUACCUCCUGGGGAGCAGGAACGAGAGGGGCUUCAAGCACUCAGCUUUGAAGCACAAAAGCCACCCCUUUCCUUUUUGGGGAGAUGGGAGAGGAGGUUAGUUGCAGAG